rnacentral:rRNA from 1 species
AACGAACGCUGGCGGCAUGCCUAACACAUGCAAGUCGAACGAGACCUUCGGGUCUAGUGGCGCACGGGUGCGUAACGCGUGGGAACCUGCCCUUAGGUUCGGAAUAACUCCCCGAAAGGGGUGCUAAUACCGGAUAAUGUCUUCGGACCAAAGAUUUAUCGCCUUUGGAUGGGCCCGCGUUGGAUUAGCUAGUUGGUAGGGUAAAAGCCUACCAAGGCGACGAUCCAUAGCUGGUCUGAGAGGAUGAUCAGCCACACUGGGACUGAGACACGGCCCAGACUCCUACGGGAGGCAGCAGUGGGGAAUAUUGGACAAUGGGCGAAAGCCUGAUCGAGCAAUGCCGCGUGAGUGAUGAAGGCCUUAGGGUUGUAAAGCUCUUUUACCCGGGAUGAUAAUGACGGUACCGGGAGAAUAAGCUCCGGCUAACUACGUG